AUAUUGGUCAAUGGAGGCAACUCUGAACCAGCCAUGCCGCGUGCAGGAUGAAGGUCCUAUGGAUUGUAAACUGCUUUUGUACGGGAAGAAACCCCUCCUCGUGAGGAGGGCUGACGGUACCGUAAGAAUAAGGAUCGGCUAACUCCGUGCCAGCAGCCGCGGUAAUACGGAGGAUCCGAGCGUUAUCCGGAAUCAUUGGGUUUAAAGGGUCCGUAGGCGGCCUUGUAAGUCAGUGGUGAAAUCUCACGGCUCAACCGUGAAAUGGCCAUUGAUACUGCGGGGCUUGAAUUAUCGGGAAGCAGCUAGAAUAUGUAGUGUAGCGGUGAAAUGCUUAGAUAUUACAUGGAAUACCGAUUGCGAAGGCAGGCUGCUACCGGUGGAUUGACGCUGAUGGACGAAAGCAUGGGGAGCGAACAGG
rnacentral:rRNA from 1 species